rnacentral:rRNA from 1 species
GACGAACGCUGGCGGCGUGCCUAAUACAUGCAAGUAGAACGCUGAAGGAGGAGCUUGCUUCUCCGGAUGAGUUGCGAACGGGUGAGUAACGCGUAGGUAACCUGCCUGGUAGCGGGGGAUAACUAUUGGAAACGAUAGCUAAUACCGCAUAAUAGUAGAUGUUGCAUGACAUUUGCUUAAAAGGUGCAAUUGCAUCACUACCAGAUGGACCUGCGUUGCAUUAGCUAGUUGGUGGGGUAACGGCUCACCAAGGCGACGAUACAUAGCCGACCUGAGAGGGUGAUCGGCCACACUGGGACUGAGACACGGCCCAGACUCCUACGGGAGGCAGCAGUAGGGAAUCCUCGGCAAUGGACGGAAGUCUGACCGAGCAACGCCGCGUGAGUGAAGAAGGUUUUCGGAUCGUAAAGCUCUGUUGUAAGAGAAGAACGAGUGUGAGAGUGGAAAGUUCACACUGUGACGGUAUCUUACCAGAAAGGGACGGCUAACUACGUGCCAGCAGCCGCGGUAAUACGUAGGUCCCGAGCGUUGUCCGGAUUUAUUGGGCGUAAAGCGAGCGCAGGCGGUUAGAUAAGUCUGAAGUUAAAGGCUGUGGCUUAACCAUAGUACGCUUUGGAAACUGUUUAACUUGAGUGCAAGAGGGGAGAGUGGAAUUCCAUGUGUAGCGGUGAAAUGCGUAGAUAUAUGGAGGAACACCGGUGGCGAAAGCGGCUCUCUGGCUUGUAACUGACGCUGAGGCUCGAAAGCGUGGGGAGCAAACAGG